rnacentral:rRNA from 1 species
UAAGCGGAGGAAAAGAAACUAACAAGGAUUCCCCUAGUAACUGCGAGUGAAGCGGGAAAAGCUCAAAUUUUGAAUCUGGCGGUCUUCAGGCCGUCCGAGUUGUAAUCUAGAGAAGCGUCUUCCGCGCUGGACCGUGUAUAAGUUUCCUGGAACGGAACGUCGUAGAGGGUGAGAAUCCCGUCUUUGACACGGACUACCAGGGCUAUGUGAUGCGCUCUCGACGAGUCGAGUUGUUUGGGAAUGCAGCUCAAAUAGGGUGGUAAAUUCCAUCUAAAGCUAAAUACAGGCGAGAGACCGAUAGCGAACAAGUACCGUGAGGGAAAGAUGAAAAGAACUUUGGAAAGAGAGUUAAACAGUACGUGAAAUUGCUGAAAGGGAAACGCUUGAGGUCAGUCGCGUCGUCCGGGGAUCAGUCUCGCUCUUUUGCUUGGCGUACUUCCUGGUCGACGGGUCAGCAUCGGUUUUGACCGUCGGAAAAGGGCCUGAGGAAUGUGGCACUCUUCGGAGUGUGUUAUAGACUCGGGUCGAAUACGANGAUUGGGACCGAGGAACUCAGUACGACCUUCGGGUUCGGAGCUUCGGCUCACGUUAACGUGCUUAGGAUGCUGGCAUAAUGGCCUUAAGCGACCCGUCUU